AACGAACGCUGGCGGCAUGCCUAACACAUGCAAGUCGAACGAGAUCUUCGGGUCUAGUGGCGCACGGGUGCGUAACGCGUGGGAAUCUGCCCUUUGGUUCGGAAUAACAGUUGGAAACGACUGCUAAUACCGGAUGAUGACGAAAGUCCAAAGAUUUAUCGCAAGAGGAUGAGCCCGCGUAGGAUUAGCUAGUUGGUGUGGUAAAGGCGCACCAAGGCGACGAUCCUUAGCUGGUCUGAGAGGAUGAUCAGCCACACUGGGACGGAGACACGGCCCAGACUCCUACGGGAGGCAGCAGUGGGGAAUAUUGGACAAUGGGCGAAAGCCUGAUCCAGCAAUGCCGCGUGAGUGAUGAAGGCCUUAGGGUUGUAAAGCUCUUUUACCCGGGAUGAUAAUGACAGUACCGGGAGAAUAAGCUCCGGCUAACUUCGUGCCAGCAGCCGCCGUAA
rnacentral:rRNA from 1 species